rnacentral:tRNA from 1 species
GCCUGGGUGGCUCAGUGGGUUGAGCGUCCGACUUCGGGUCAGGUCAUGAUAUCACGGUUCGUGAGUUCAAGCCGCACAUCAGGCU